UGUACUUACUUUCGUGAAAGAGUAUCUCGUGUGAAUGCACUUUGUACACCAAACAAUACGUCUCGAUUGUUGACUGAAAACGUACCGCUGAAAUUAUUGUGCAAUCGAUCGUGGAUUAAUCCGAUAAUCGCGUCGUUUUUAUCGAGCAUAGUUUCGUUCUUGGAAUUUAAAAAUUUCUAUCGAUAAUUUUAUAAUACAUAUAAGAUACGAGCCGAAUCUUAUAGAUAUUGACUUUUGUAACGUAUAUAGUAGUUUCUACGAAUAAUAAAGUAUAUACUCCACAAACGUAUUCUAAACGUAUGAAUAUUUGUAUUUAACUGUAUAUAUUCGUAAUAUAACAAAUUUUCUAAUUAUUUUUGUUCACUAAAAAGAUACUUAGAGAUACUUACAAAAUGUCAACAAUUAUAUAUAUUUAUAGCUGUGUUCCUUAUUUGUAUACAAAUGGGAUAUAAAAUAAAUGAAAUUUUAGUAAUAUUGUAUCAAAUGCGAUUCUAUCUUUCCGAUAAUUUAGAUUUUUAUUUAAAUAACCUUAAAGUGAAGUCUCUAACGUUAGAUGGCGCGUAAGAUACUGUUUCGUUCAAAAUACAAAUUUAGUAUAUUAUUAUCAUUAUCUAUAAGCAACAAGCUAAUAUCUUAUAGUCUGUUACAUCUUAUUUAUUUAGUUAUUGCAUUGUUCUUUCUCAAUUUAUAAUGAAUGAAAAAACUUUCAAAUUUUUUUAUUGUUAUAAAAAAUGUUCCUGUUUAGAAAAAGCAGUAUGUUCCUAUGUAAAUAUUAACAACUGGUAUAAUUCGUCUACACAGUCUACACUGUACAAUUUAGGAAUGAAUAAGAUCCCUGUCAAAAUAAGAAGUCUGUCUCCCGAAACAAAAUAUCCUAAGAGAAAUCGAUGUGUCGCGCCUGUAAAAUUCAGCAACAUAUUUCGACCUUGGAGGGGGAAAUCUGUAAUCUGAGAGAUUUCUGGAAACACGAGGACCUCAGACAAGGAUCGCACAACGUUAAUUUAGAACUGCUUCCUUCCAUCUUCAAAGAACUCACAUCUAUAUAUAAUUAUUAUAUCAAAUCAAAAAUACUUCUGUCCGACUAUGUAAUUAUUUUUACGAAUUUUAUAGCGUAGCCUUCGAACCACAUAAAAAAGACGCGCGCAGUUUCAUCGUCAAAUUGGAUUAUUCCUUGCGAGAUCUUUCGGUUACUCUCGAGGGCAGUGAAUGCCGCCAGAUUUCACGACGAAUGAGCAAAUCCGUAUCGAACGAUUCCUAACAAAUAUGUAACGUCGGAAACGUGUAAUUAAACGUCUAGGCGAAACAACUUUUUGCCAAGAAAUGUGCGAUUAGAGGUAAUUACUUUAUUAACCUACUUCCAGUCGCAACUUGCGUUCACUCGCUCGCACGACAAUCCUACAGCGAUGAAUUCAAAUCUAUAAGCAAGCAGGCUUGCCGAUAUUACAGCAAGGAGAUGACAAGAACUGCGAAAUCUCGAACAAGUUGGCUGUAUGUGCGUUGGAUGCUCUCGGUCGGAAACAUCCAACAUCGAAACAAAGAAAUCCAAACUUUGGAUUUGGCAAACGAGAAAGGGAUUUGGGCGCAUGUUUCCGAGAAAUUAAUCGAGAAAUUACGUUCUUGGUGCAAGAGCUUCUUGUGUUUUAAAACGCUAAACCUUAGCAGGUCUAAUGACCGCUUUCAAAAUUGAAUUUAAAGUCGUGCAUUCGUUGUUAUUUCUUUCGUUCCACUAACUUUCUCUGAAUUCUUACGUUUAUCUGAUUAAUCAAUUUCUCAGUUUUUGUUAAUACAGUUACAAUUUCCAUCCGUAAAAUCGUACAAAUACGCAGUGAUAGUAUAAUAAAUAGAAAUAAACAAAGGCUUAUAAUAUAAAAGAUAGAUUAUAGGAAUUUAAUAUUUAAGAAAAUGAUAUUAAUAUCGAAAGAAUUUAUAAAGCGUAAGAUAUGGUCCCUGGCGUUUCCCCGAAAUUGUUGAGAAGUUUCUCUCACUCUGAAUCUUAUCGUUUCAAUAUUUUCAAUAGUUUUGCUCUGCUUACAAAAUUCGUUGUAUCUCGAAAGAAGAAAAUAGAGCAUAUGUUUGUACGAAGUUUCUUCAUUGUUUUUAGAUGCACAAUCAGCUCUGCAAGUGGGGCCCACAUGUUACGUCACAUCCUGUGUACGCAAAAAGUUUCUG